rnacentral:rRNA from 1 species
AACGAACGCUGGCGGCAUGCCUAACACAUGCAAGUCGAACGAGACCUUCGGGUCUAGUGGCGCACGGGUGCGUAACGCGUGGGAACCUGCCUUUAGGUUCGGAAUAACUCAGAGAAAUUUGAGCUAAUACCGGAUAAUGUCUUCGGACCAAAGAUUUAUCGCCUUUAGAUGGGCCCGCGUAAGAUUAGCUAGUUGGUGGGGUAAAGGCCUACCAAGGCGACGAUCUUUAGCUGGUCUGAGAGGAUGAUCAGCCACACUGGGACUGAGACACGGCCCAGACUCCUACGGGAGGCAGCAGUGGGGAAUAUUGGACAAUGGGCGAAAGCCUGAUCCAGCAAUGCCGCGUGAGUGAUGAAGGCCUUAGGGGUUGUAAAAGCUCUUUUACCCGAGAUGAUAAUGACAGUAUCGGGAGAAUAAGCUCCGGCUAAACUCCGUGCCAGCAGCCGCGGUAAU